ACGGUCCCGAAGUGGAAAAAGAUAAAACAACAAGAAUAAGAAUUAGUGGAGUGUGUAACAAAAUGGAUAAUCAUCAGGACAAAGAAAAUGUAAGACAAGUAAAAGAAAGCGAAAACAAGAGGAAAAAGCCCAAAAUGCUAAGGAUCCCUGUACCCCUGGCGCCUCUGCCACCUCUACCGGCCCAGUUGCUGAAGAAAUUAAUACUGAGGCCUCCAGUGAAUACGUUAUCUGGCGCCAAGGAACUCAAUCAUAAUGUGGGCACAACUACAAAUUUGUUAUGCGUGGCUGGCCCAAGCAAUUCAAAGCUCGAAAACGUUGUCAUUAGACCAAAAAACGAAAGCGUUGUCAUUAGACCAAAAAAUCCCGUUCAAAUUAUAUUUUUAUCUCCUCGAGUUUCACGGGCCUAUCUUAUUAUUAUUGUUAGUUAUUUUUUUAUUUUUAUUUUAUUUUUAUUUUAUUGUAUUUUUUUUUAAAUUAACACAACUCGUAACAGCGCAACGGGGUUGAGCGCAACGGGCCUAUAAAUCCUAUACUAUUAUUAUUGUUAGUUAUUUUUUUAUUUUUUUUUAAAUUGACACUAAACUCGUAACAGCGCAACGGGGUUGUGGAAACAUCGAUAAUUUUGUUGCUUACCAAAAAGAGCCAAGUGACGUAAUUAUUAUUAGCAGUGAUGAGGAAAUUGAUUCGUCCGAAAAGGAAAUACAUAUCACAUCACUGAUAAAGAUGGCCUUGCUAAUAAGAAGCGGAUAUCAGCAUCAAGUACCCCUGAUUUAGAGCGAAGAAACUUGCGAUCUGUAACUUCGUUACUUUACGAGGACUCGAGGAGGAAACGAACUGCAUCUGGACGUUAAUAUUAAGGACAGUAAUUUAUGCUCAAUGAAACUAUAUUUUUAUUAUGUUUUCUAUCUAGCAAAUUUCAUCAAUAGUCUACAUUUCCUAAUUUAUGUAAAAAACAUGUUAUACCUAGUUGGUCAAGCAAAUCUUGUCAGUUGAAAAAGGCGCGAUAUUCAAAUUUUCUAUGGGACGACAUCCCUUCGCGCCUACAUUUUUUAAAUUUGCCGCCUUUUUCUACUGACAAGAUUUGCUUGACCAACUAUAUAAUAUAAUUUUAAUAGUUAGUGAUGUAUACAGGUGCGGUUUUUUUUAAAUUAUAUUACGUCACUAGCUAUUGUUAAGAAUUUAAAUAAGGACUGACUUAAAUAUCCUGUAACUUCGCCACUUAAUCGUCACUUUUUUUUAAAUAUAUUAUUUAUUUUUUAAAAUUAUUUAAAAUUUAUUUCGAAUUAAACAGAAUAGUACAGAGAAAAAAAAUGUAAUAGAAGUAUGAAGUGGCUGUUCAUCUAAAUUAAAAGGCUACUUUGUUUCACUCCCUGGAGUGAGGAAAGUCGCACUUUCGUCACUCCCUGGAGUGAGGAAAGUCGUACUUUCCUAACUCCAGGGAGUGACGAAAGUAGCUAGGCUUGUUUGAUCUGCUGAGGUGAAAAAUAUUUUGAGACAAUUGUUUGUUCCUUCGUAUAUGGCAUUUAUUUAUUUCGAUUUCUAAUUUAAAUAGUAUAGUGUGUCUACUUGAAAUAACACAAAUUAAAAUAUUUGCAUAGAAAGUAAUUUUAUUUGUUCUUAUACUACGCAAUUUAUCCGGUUUGCAUGUCAAUGUCUCUUUCACUCUUAUAAAUUUCGGUAUUUCGCCAUAGCCUCCUUGCUAUGAAGCCCCCUCCACACUCGUGCACGAAUCGCGGCGCGAAGCCGCAAACGCAAGUGUGUAGUCUAGUUCGCUAAUCAGCGAAAUCGACUCCACACUCGCGUUCGCGGCUUCGCUCCGCGUAGUCUGGAGCGGGCUUGAUGUGCCCACAUGAUGCCAUAACCUGACCAUGAAAGAAUGCCCGGUCGGUGACAAAGCUUGGCACUAUUUUCUCUUUCCUCUUAUAGGAAUCGCAAUAAGACUAUCUUUAGCGUAAAGAAAAAAGAAAAAAUAAAAAAUAGUGCGAUGGUGAAAUACCGAAAUUUAUAAGUGAAAGAGAAUAAAUCCUAUGCUACCCAAAUUUUGUAUGAAUAAUUGAAUAUUCUUUCUCUUACCCCCGGUCGCUCGGUGGCGCGUCUAUAACUACUUGUAUAUACUAUGUCUAUGUAGAAAUAAAUGUAUUUUCUUUC